rnacentral:lncRNA from 1 species
UCAGGAUUGGGUAAUUUGCGCGCCUGCUGCCUUCCUUGGAUGUGGUAGCCGUUUCUCAGGCUCCCUCUCCGGAAUCGAACCCUAAUUCUCCGUCACCCGUUACCACCAUAGUAGGCCACUAUCCUACCAUCGAAAGUUGAUAGGGCAGAAAUUUGAGUGAUGCGUCGUCGGUACAAAGGCCUUGCGAUCCGUCGAGUUAUCAUGAAUCAUCAGAGCAACGGGUAAAGCCCCAAUCGACCUUUUUUCUAAUAAAUGCAUCCCUUUCAAAAGUCGGGGUUUGUUGCACGUAUUAGCUCUAUAAUUACUACGGUUAUCCGAGUAGCAAAUACCAUCAAAGAAACUAUAACUGAUUUAAUGAGCCAUUCGCAGUUUCACAGUCUGAAUUUGUUCAUACUUACACAUGCAUGGCUUAAUCUUUGAGACAAGCAUAUGACUACUGGUAGGAUCAACCAGGUAGCAUUCCUCCACGACAUCGACACUGCAUGGCUCUCAACAUGCCGCCUGAGCAACGAAGAGGCCAUUACAGAGCACGAGCAUCAUCCGUGUCAAGAGACAAAAUGCAUAAGCAUCGAGAGACAAGGGCCUAAACCCUACUCUAAAAAAUAUUUUCCGCAUCCGAAAGCACGAACGAGCACCAGUGCACCAAUGAGGCCACACUGAUUUAAGGGGGCACACUCGGGACAUAGGGCAUGAUUGUGGUCCACCACGCACCCCAAAGGGCACUAGAUGGAGAAGGGACGGCAACACAUCUAUAAUUCCAUCUGGCUUAGGUACGCAACACAGGAUCCCGAUCGUACCCCCUGGGUUUAAUUAGAACAAGGGGAAUCAAUGAAGAGGAGUGUGGCUCGACAGUUCUAUGCGGGUAGCAUUGAGCCUGCCAAUACACACAACCAAAACACCACUCAUAUGCCUAUUGCGUACUAGUAGUAGCACCCACGCACACCAGCCAACAACCUACCCAACCAAUGUAUUGGAAGGGGAGCGGAAGGAACAAUAAAACGAGGGCACACCAAAAACGCUUGGCAUGAGAACUACGAGGGACAAAAUCCCAUUAGGACUUGGUCGAGCCAAGACCGAGCCUACAAACUCAACUUACGCCUCCCAAUGAGCCGUUGCCGUCAAAGGGACUUGGUACUGGGGUCACGGGCAGCUUCGAAUGCAGGCAAGGCCUUGGGAAGGCUAAGGCGCCGAUGGGUCACCGACUUGGGAAGCACAAGGCGUCCCUAACAUGGCGGGGGAGAAUGGGCAAGCCAAGCUCGAGCACAUAGCAAUGCAUAAGCCACCCCAAGAGAUCUUUGCCCGAUAUAGGGAACCUGGUUUUAGAGUCGUUGGCUACAUUUCUAUGGGCACGGGUUUUACCAGCCAAAAAAUCAUCACCCCGGCCACUAGCGUCAGCGAUCGACCCACCACCGUUAGUGAGUCAUUGCGGGUCUAUCCGAACCCCGUGGGGGCUGUGGACGUACCCCACCUCGGGUUCGAGAGGGGGCCACGUCGGGGGGCAGCGGAUCUCUACCCCUUAAAGAGCUAAAAAACUUUAUCAAUCUGCUACCAGGCAACAUUCGUAUGUCUGAAACGAGGACACUUUUCGUUAGCCCGCACAUCCGAGGCACCAGGGUGCCCCUGCUGCUCGAGGCACCCGCACAUCCAACGUCCUAGGUUUCCGAUGGUGUCCGAGGCUCCCGCACAUCCAAGGCACCAAGGUGCCGAUAGUGCCCGAGGCUCCCGCACGACCAAGGUCCUAGGUUGCCGAUGGUGUCCGAGGGUUCCGCACAUCCAAGCACCAAGGUGCCGAUGGUGCCCGAGGUUCUUGCACGAUCAAGGCCUAGGUUGCCGAUGGUGCCCAAGGCUCCCGGACGACCAGGGACCUACGUUGCAGAUGGUGUCCGAGGCUCCCGCACAUCCAUGCACCAAUAUGCCGAUGGCGGCCGAGGCUCCCGCACGACCAAGGGCCUAGGUACCGAUGGUCCGGAGGCUCUCGCACGACCAAGGGCCUUGGUUGUCGAUGGCGCCCGAGGCUCCCGCACGACUAGGGGCCUAGGUUACCGAUGGUGCCCCAGGCUCCCGCACGACCAAGGGCCUAGGUUGCCGAUGGUGCCCGAGGCUCCCGCACGACCAAGGGCCUAGGUUGCCGAUGGUGCCUGAGGCUCCCGCACGACCAGGGGCCUAGGUUGCUGAUGGUGCCCGAGGCUCCCGCACGACCAAGGGCCUAGGUGCCAAUGGUGCCCGAGGCUCCCGCACGACCAAGGGCCUAGGUUGUCGAUGGUACCGAGGCUCUCGCACGACCAGGGGCCUAGGUUGUCGAUGGAGGCCGAGGCUCCCGCACGACCACGGGCCUAGGUUGCCGAUGAUGUCUGAGGCUCCCUCACGACCAAGGGCCUAGGUGCCGAUGGCGGCUGAGGCUUCCGCACGACCAAGAGCCUAGUUUGUCGAUGGUGCCAGAGGCUCCCGCACGACCAGGGGCCUAGGUUACCGAUGGUGCCCGAGGCUCCCGUACGACCAAGGGCGUAUGUUACCGACGAUGCCCGAGGCACACGCACAUCCCAGCACCAGGGUACCGAUGGUGCCCGAGGCUCCCGCACUACCAAGGGCCAAGGUGCCGAUGGUGCCCGAGGCUCCCGCAUGAACAAGGGCCUAGGUUGCCGAUGGUACCGAGGCUCUCGCACGACCAGGGGCCUAGGUUGCCGAUGGUGCCUGAGGCUGCUGCACGACCAAGGGCCUAGGUAACCAAUGGUGACCAAGGCUCCCGCACAUUCAAGCACCAAGGUGCCGAUGGUGCCAGAGGCUCCCAUACGACCAAGGGGCUAGGUGCCGACGGUGCCUGAGGCUCCCGCACGACCGACAUCCUAGUUCGCCGAUGGCGUCCAUGGCUCCAGCACGUCCAAGUAGGAAUGUGCCGAUGCUCCCGCACCAUCGACGUCCUAGGUUACCAAGGGUGCCUGAUGCUUCGGCACGACCAAGGGCCCAAGGUCCCGGAGGCUCUUAUUCCAAAAGGGGAGGAACCAAAAUGAUUCUAAAGGGGAGGGACCGGGACAACUUGUAGUAUCGUUUUCGAUAUUCUGGGAUGGCUCGCUGAAGCACUGCCAGAAUGGAUCGCCGGAGCACCGCCAGGAACCUAACCGGAGAUGGGGGCACCGACAUCUGGGCAUGAAAUGGGCGUGGGCAGUGCUCUGGACAACCCCUGUUCGCCUCAAUAUCACCUCCCCCCUAAAGAGUUAAAAAAACUUGGUCAAUCUGCUACCAGACGACAUUCAUGUGUCUGAAACAGGGACACUUUAUGGUGCCGACGCUUCUGCACCAACGGGGGCCCAAAAUUAGCUUUGGUGCUCGACCCUCCCGCACAUGCGAUGCAUCAAGGUGCCGAUGCUGCCCGAUGCUCCGACACAUCAAAGGGGUCGGUGGUGCCCGAUGGCCCCGCACCAUAGGAUGGCAUACACUGUCGAUAGUGUACGAGGCUACCGUACGACCGGGGGCCAAAGAUGCCGGAGGCUCUUGUUGCAAAAGGGAGGGAUAGGGACGAUUCAUUCAUUGUUGGGUACUGGACAUGCAACGGUAUCCGAAUCCUACCUUUGGGACUAUUCAUUCAUUAUUGGGUACCGAACAUGUAACGGUAUCUGAAUUCUACCUUUUGAGAUUGGGGAGUGACUCGUUGCGUCGUUUUGUAUAUCCCGGGAUGGCUCACCGAAUCAUCACCGGGAUGGAUCGUUGGAGCACUGCAGGGAACCUAACCGGUGGUGGGGGGCACCGAUGUCUGGGCAUGCGAUGGGCAUGGGUAGUGCCCUGGAUAACCCCUGGCUGCUCAAUAUCACUUCCCCCCUAAAGAGCUAAAAAAACUUGGUCAAUGUGCUACCAGUCGACAUUCAUGUGUUUGAAACAGGGACAGGUGUUCCAGAUGUCUGAAAUAGGGACACUUUUUCAGCCCAACGCUCCCGCACAUCUGAGGCACCAAGGUGCCGAUGUUGCCCGAUGACCCGCACCAUGGGAUGGCCUACGUUGCGGAUGUUGCCCGAGGCUCCCGUACAUGCCUGAAAUGGGGGCAAUUUUUUUUACGCCACUUACACUUAGUAUUUUUAAUUGAAAAUUUUUUCUAUUGGCCCAAAAGAAAUACAAGAAGCCGAAUGAAAUAUGGCAUGAUGGCACGGCAGAAAAUUGAACAAGUGCCCGGGCUUCCAAUAGUUGGGAGCUCGCAGUCGCACCACCACGACCCCCGUUGUGCCAUGUUUCUCGAGUAGGUGGCACGACCAAGUGCUUAACUUAGAAAUUUUUUCUGUUGGCCCAAAAAAAAUACAAGAAGUACGGCAUGGCAUGGCACGGCAUGGCACGGCACAGCAGAAAAUUAAACAAGUGCCCUAACCGCCGACACUUGAGAGCUCGCACCAACACCACCACGGCCCCCGUUGUGCCAUGUUUCCCGAGGGGGCGGCAUGGCCAAGUGUUUAACUAACUCCUUACACUAAGUCCCCCACUUGGGGACCCCAGGGUCGGGACGUGCAAAAGAACAAGGGUGGAUCGGAAGAGAGAUAGGGGAGGGACGAAUCGAAGCGACAAAGGGCUGAAUCUCAGUAGAUCGUGGUAGCAAGGCCGCUCUGCCACUUACAAUACCCCAUCGCAUUUUUAAGUCUUCUGCAAAAGAAUUCUACCCGUCGCUCUGUGGAAAUUAUGCUCCAAGGAGGCACCCGCGACUUGUCUGCCACAGUCGUUGCACCUACGACACGUACCCUUGGGGGCCAAAGGCCAUUACUGAGGGUCGGGAAUCGGGCGACAGGCGCGUGCGUCGCUUCUAGCCCUGAUUUUAACUUAGAGGCGUUCAGUCAUAAUCUAGCGCAGGGUAGCUUCUCGCCACUGGCUUUUCAACCAAGCGCGGUGACCAAUUGUGCGAAUCAACGGAUCCUCUCGUACUAGGUUGAAUUACUAUUGCGACGCGGCCAUCAGUAGGGUAAAACUAACCUGUCUCACGAUGGUCUAAACCUAGCUUACGUUUCCUAUUUGUGGUUGAACAAUCCAACACUUGGUGAAUUCUGCUUCAAUGAUAGGAAGAGCCGACAUCGAAGGAUCAAAAAGUAAAGUCGCUAUGAACGCUUGGCUGCCACAAGCCAGUUAUCCCUGUGGUAACUUUUCUGACACCUCUAGCUUCAAAUUCCGAAGGUCUAAAGGAUCGAUAGGCCACGCUUUCACGGUUCGUAUUCGUACUAGAAAUCAGAAUCAAACGAGCUUUUACCCUUUUGUUCCACAUAAGAUUUCUGUUCUCGUGGAGCUCAUCUUAGGACACCUGUGUUAUCUUUUAACAAAUGUGUCACCCCAGCCAAACUCCCCACCUGACAAUGUCUUCAGCCUCGAUCGGCCGGUCGAAGCCGACCUUGGGUCCAAAAAGAGGGGCCGUGCCCCCUCUGACUCACGGAAUAAGUAAAAUAAUGUUAAAAGUAGUGGUAUUUCAAUUUCGCUUGAGAGCUCCCACUUAUCCUACACCUCUUAAGUCAUUUCUCAAAGUCGGACUAGAGUCAAGCUCAACAGGGUCUUCUUUCCCCGCCGAUUCUGCCAAGCCCAGUCCCUUGGCUUUGGUUUCGUUGAAUAGUAGACAGCGAUAGUGGGAAUCUCGUUAAUCCAUUCAUGCGCGUCAAUAAUUAGAUAACGAGGCAUUUGGCCAUCUUAAGAGAGUCAUAGUUACUCCCGCCGUUUACCUGCGCUUGGUUGAAUUUCUUCACUUUGAUAUUCAGAGCACUGGGCAAAAAUCACAUUGCGUGAGCAUCCGCAAGGACCAUUGCAAUGCUUUGUUUUAAUUAAACAGUCGGAUUCCCCUUGUUCGUACCAGUUCUGAGUUGACUGUUCAUCGCCCGGGGAAGGCCCCCGAAGGAGCCGCUCCCAGUCCGUCCCUUGGCCGGCACGCGGCGACCCGCUCUCGCUGCAGAAGCAGCUCGAGCAGUGCACCUGUAGCCAAUAGGUUCGAGACUAGGACCCCUGUGCCCAGCCCUCAGAGCCAAUCCUUUUUCCGAGGUUACGGAUCUAUUUUGCCGACUUUGCCUGAGGCUCCCGCACAACCAAGGGCCUAGGUUGCCGAUGGUAUCGAGGCUCCCGCACGACCAAGGGCCUAGGUUGCCGAUGGUGACCGAAGCUCCCGCACAUCCAAGCACCAAGGUGCCGAUGGUGCCAGAGGCUCCCGGAUGACUAAGGGGCUAGGUGUCGAUGGUGCCUGAGGCUCCCGCACGACCGACAUCCUAGGUUGCCGAUGGCAUCCAAGGCUCCAGUACGUCCAAGAAGUAAUGUGCCGAUGCUCCCACACCAUCGACAUCAUAGGUUACCAAGGGUACCUGAUACUCCGGUACGACCAAAGGCCCAAUGUGCCGGAGGCUCUUGUUCCAAAAGGGGAGUGACCGGGAUGAUUCAAAAGGGGAGGGACCGAGACGACUUGUAGCAUCGUUUUUUAUAUUUCGAGGUACCUCGCGGGAGCACCGCCGGGAUGGUUCGCCGAAGCACCGCCGAAAUAGAUCAUCGGAGCACCGUCGGGAACCUAACCGGUGAUGGGGGGCACCAACGUCUGGGCAUGAAACGGGCGUGAGUAGUGCCCUGGACAACCCCUGUUCGCCUCAAUAUCACCUUCCCCCUAAAGAGCUAACAAAACUUGGUCAAUGUGCUACCAGGCGACAUUCAUGUGUCUGAAACAGGGACACUUUAUGGUGCCGACGCUUCUGCACCAACGGGGGCCAAAAAUUAGAUUUAGUGCUCGACCCUCCCGCACAUCCGAUGCACCAAGGUACCGAUGCUGCCCGAUGCUCCGACACAUCAAAGGGGCCGGUAGUGCCCGAUGGCCCCGCACCACGGGAUGACACACACUGUCGAUAGUGUACAAGGCUACCGUACGACCGGGGGCCAAAGAUGCCAGAGGGUUUUGUUGCAAAAGGGGAGGGACAGGGACGAUUCAUUCAUUGUUGGGUACCGGACAUGCAACGGUAUCCGAAUCCUACCUUUGGGACGAUUCAUUCAUUAUUGGGAAUUGAACAUGUAACGGUAUCCGAAUUCAACCUUUUGGGAUUGGGGAGGGACUCAUUACGCUGUUUUGUAUAUCCCGGGAUGGCUUGCCAGAUCAUCGCCGGGAUGGAUUGUCGGGGCACCAACGUCUGGCCAUGCGAUGGGCAUGGGCAGUGCCCUGGAUAACCCCUGGCUGCUCAAUAUCACUUCCCCCCUAAAGAGCUAAAAAAACUUGGUCAAUGUGCUACCCGUCGACAUUCAUGUGUCUGAAACAAGGACAGAUUCCAUAUGUCUGAAACAGGGACACUUUUAUUAGCCCAACGCUUCCGCACAUCCGAGGCACUGAGGUGUCGAUGUUGCUCGAUGACCCAUACCACGGGAUGGCCUACGUUGCGGAUGUUGCCCGAGGCUCCCGUACAUGCCUGAAAUAGGGGCAGUUUUUUUACGCCACUUACACUUAGUAUUUUUAAUUGAAAAUUUUUUCUGUUGGCCCAAAAGAAAUACAAGGAGCCGAAUGAAAUAUGGCAUGAUGGCACGGCA